rnacentral:tRNA from 3 species
GAGCCUGUAGCUCAGCUGGUAGAGCAACUGACUUUUAAUCAGUAGGUCCAGGGUUCGACCCCCUGCGGGCUCACCA